ensembl:lncRNA
AGGAAAGCAAGUGACUAAAUAGACUAAGAACAAGGAUCUGCGAAUCGUGUAACAUCACAUACGCAAAGAAAAGUAGCCUGUGGCAAAGAAAACACAUUGUCACCAGCUAAGAGAGCUGCUGCUGGACGGAAGGCUCUAAUGGCUUUGCUAGAGCUUCUGAGGAAUCCACGUUAACCUCCUGCUCAGUCUUUUGUGGAAGAGAUUAACCACAAGAGCAGCACCAUCGGCCCAGCCCCACUUUGCAGACAGCUGCCUGUGUGGACAGACUCAGUUUGAACCCAGACUUGUGUCCCGCUGGAGACUCCUCUGAAGGCCGCGGCUGAGUCAGGCUUUUUGAAGCGACCAUGCUUUCCGGAGCUCACCGAUUACUGAAGCUGUCUACUGAUGAGGACGUCCUGAUUCCCCGAAGCUGAGAGCUGCGAAAGGCAGUCCCGGAGAGCCCAGCUCCUCCAGGAGGAAUGAGAGCGGAGCAGCGAUCUGGGCAUCGGUGAGAACUCUGCGGGCAAGCGAUGAAGUGGAAAGUCUGCACACCCCUGGCGGGCCGGAAAUGUGAGCUUACCUUCAGUUCCUCAUGAGGCCUGGGGCAGGACAGACACACAGGAUGUGACCAACACAGAUUUGUGGAGAUUUUGCAUGAAGAAAAGGAGAGCAGGAUGGCAAUGUUUCCUGGAAGCCUGUCUCUUGCCCAGGGAAAACCCCAGAAUGGUCAGUGCCACCUACUCUCCUCCCUUUCAGAAAGGACUAACUGAUCCUCCUCUUGCCCUGACUGUAAAUUCUGAACUGACUUCCUAAGAAUACGUCAGACCUUGGAAGGAGAAAGAGCAUAUUGGCUAAAGGAAGCCCCACCACAUUCUCACAUUCACAGAAACGAGCAGGAAGCGGAUGCAGGGACACGGUCUUUGGAAAUAGGUCAAGUAAAGGGAAUGGCUUAGAAAAUCACCUUCCAUUUGCCUUCAGAGGCUAUUAAACAGGAAAGGAGAUUCCCAAAGGAAGAGAUGUCAACAGCUUUUGGAGAGAUGGAGAGCAUCAGCAUGAAACAAGAGCCUUAGAUCAAAAUAGCAACGUUCUGGCAUUUAAGGUCCUCUGCAAUGUGAAUCCAUUAAUGUUGAGGCACAACUGACCAUACACAAUUAGAAGGAAAUAAACAAGAUAGCCUCUCAGUUCCUCUAUCACCAAGAGAAACAGCAACAACUCAACUGCUGAUUAGGAGCAAGGACGGCAGCUCAGAAGUCUGUUGACUGCUCUUCAGCUCCUGGACACAUAAAACCAUCGGGAUUCGUCUGAGAACUUCAGAAUUGCUGGAGAUGGCCCCCACAUCUAGAUGGUCUUUUUCCUGAAGACCUUUUAGAAAACCCAACAGAUGGAUGCAGGGCACCAAGGGGACUAAAGAAUGACCACUGUGAAGGACAGCAAGAAGGUCCCGUUUAAGAAGCAGAGCUGGUGUGCCGGGGGCUCAGCAACAAGCCAUGUCUGGACAAGAAGUUGACAACGAGAUUCAAGACAAAGAAGAGGAAGUCCCGGGACGGAAAAUAUUCAGGGUGGAAAUUCCUCUGCUUUACUGUCGUGAAAAUGAAAAGUGAGCCGUGGACUGGGAGAAAAAUAUGUGCAAAACAUAUCCAGUAAAAGACUUGUAUCUGGAUAUAGAAAAAAUUCUUAUAAUUCGAUAAGAAGAAGACAAAUGACCAAUUGAAAAGGAAGAUAUACAGAUGGCAUUUAGGUACAUGAAAGAUACUCACUAGUCAUCAGGGAAAGGAAAAUUUAAAACCACAAGGAGAUAUUACUACUACCCAGUAGCAUGGCUAAAAUUAAAAAGACUGACCUACAAAGUGUUGGCAAAAAUGUGGAGAAAUUGAAAUUGUCAUGCACUGCUGGUAGGAAUGUAAAAUGGUAAAAACACUUUGGAAAACAAGUCAGAAGUUUCAUACAUAGUUAAACAUACACCUUCCCAACCAUAUAACCUAGCCAUUCGACUCCUGGGUAGAGAGAUGUGAUCAUAUAACC